GAUGAACGCUGGCGGCGUGCCUAAUACAUGCAAGUCGAGCGAACAGACGAGGAGCUUGCUCCUCUGACGUUAGCGGCGGACGGGUGAGUAACACGUGGAUAACCUACCUAUAAGACUGGGAUAACUUCGGGAAACCGGAGCUAAUACCGGAUAAUAUAUUGAACCGCAUGGUUCAAUAGUGAAAGACGGUUUUGCUGUCACUUAUAGAUGGAUCCGCGCCGCAUUAGCUAGUUGGUAAGGUAACGGCUUACCAAGGCAACGAUGCGUAGCCGACCUGAGAGGGUGAUUGGCCACACUGGAAGUGAGAAACGGUCCAGACUCCUGCGGGAGGCAGCAGUAGGGAAUCUUCCGCGAUGGAGGAGAGCCUGACGGAGCAACGCCGCGUGAGUGAUGAAGGUCUUCGGAUCGUAAAACUCUGUUAGUAGGGAAGAACAAAUGUGUAAUUAACUAUGCACGUCUUGACGGUACCUAAUCAGAAAGCCACGGCUAACUACGUG
rnacentral:rRNA from 1 species